UUUUGGUCCAUGUGUUUUUCUUUAUUCAAACAGAAACAAUGUGAGUCCAUUGAGAAAUGAUUUUGGUCCAUGUUCCUACUGUUUGAUUCAAUGUGUUGCUGAUGAUGAUCAUAAUGUUCUUUAUUCCUACUGUUUGCAUUCUCUAUUGUUUGCAAUAUGUUCCUAUAGAAAAUCAGAUUCAUAGAUMUUAUGUUCCUACUAUUUUGUUCCUACUCCAGAGGGCUUGGAGUGGAAAUUCUCUCAGGUUUUUGGUGAACGUGCAGCAGGAGAAGAGGUUCAAGAAGGUGAAAGYUGUUUCAACAAUAGUGGCAUAUCUAUACAAGUUUGGGGUUUGGGGCUGAAGUUUGUUUAAAACCUCAUAGCACAUGAUGCUGUAGCCUCACCAGCUCUGAAUGAGAUUCUUGCCACCCUAAAAGAUGUUACCAAGUUAGUGGAGAUUCAAUGCUUUGUUGUUCUUACUGUUAUUGCUAUAAGACAAUUUAUUAUCAUUGGUUUCUAGAAUUACUUUUAGAGGAAGGUAACAAAAUGGAAAUUUGCAUUAGUAC